AACUUGAGUUUGAGGAAAUUGUUAAACUUGUGAUUCAGGUGUUGGAUUAACUUGAGUUAAUGUGUUUGUUGAAAUUGAGUUUGUGUGGUUUUUUUUUAACUUGAGGGUUUGGAAUUUGUUAAACUUGAAAAUUGGGUAUUGGUUAAACUUGAGUUUGUGUGCUUUUUGAACUUGAGUUUGUGGUAUGUUUGAACUUGAGUUUGUGGCGUUUGUCGGACUUGAGUUUGAGUCAUGUUUUAACUUGAUUUUGUGGUGUAUUUGAACUUGAGUUUGUGUGUUUGUUGAACUUGAGUUUGUGUUUGUUGAACUUGAGUUUGUAUCAUGUUUGAACUUGAGUUUGUAGUGUUUUUGAACUUGAGUUUGUGUUGUGAUUGAACUUGAGCUUGUGUUGUGUUUGAACUUGAGUUUUUGGUGUUUUUGAACUUGAGUUUAUGGCGUUUGUUGAACUUGAGUUUCUGUUGUGUUUUAAAUUUAAUUUGUUUUUUGUUUUUGAACUUGAGUUUGUGUCGUGUUUGAACUUGAGUUUGUGUCGUGUUUGAACUUGAGUUUGUGGUGUUUUUGAACUUGAGGGUGUGGUGUUUUUGAACUUGAGGGUGUGGAAUUAUUUAAACUUGAGAAUCAGAUGUUUGUUGAACUUGAGUUUGUGUUGUGUUUGAAAUUUAAUUUGUUUUUUGUUUUUUAAACUUGAAUUUAUGUUGUGUUUGAACUUGAGUUUGUGGCGUUUGUUGAACUUGAGUUUCUGUUGUUUUUGAACUUGAGGUAUUGGAAAUUGUUCAACUUUAGAAUCAGGUGUUGGUUGAACUUGAGUUUGUGUGUUUUUUGAACCUGAGUCUGUGGUGUUUUUAAACUUGAAUUUGUGGUGUUUUUUAACUUGAGUUUGUGUGUUUUUUGAACUUGAGUUUGUGUUGUGUUUGAACUUUAGUUUGUGUCGUGUUUGACCUUGAGUUUGUGUUGUGUUUGAACUUGAGUUUGUCGUGUUUUUGAACUUGAGUUUGUGUAGUGUUUGAACUUGAGUUUGUGUUGUGUUUGAACUUGAGUUUGUGGUGUUUUUGAACUUGAGUUUGUGUCGUGUUUGAACUUGAGUUUGUGGCGUUUGUUUAACUUGAGUUUCUGUUGUUUUUGAACUUGAGGUAUUGGAAAUUGUUAAACCUUAGAAUCAGAUGUUGGUUGAACUUGAGUUUGUGUGUUUUUUGAACCUGAGUUUGUUCCGUGUUUCAACUUUAGUUUGUGGUGUUUUCGAACUUGAGUUUGUGUCAUGUUUGAACUUGAGUUUGUGGUGUAUUUUAACUUGAGUUUGUGUGUUUGUUGAACUUGAGUUUGUGUUUGGUAAACAUGAGUUUUUUUUAAGAACUUGAGUUUCAGUUGUUUUUGAACUUGAUUUUGUGGAAAUUGUUAAACUUGAUAUUCAGAUGUUGGUUGAACUUAAGUUUGUGUUUGUUGAACUUGAGUUUGUGUCAUGUUUGAACUUGAGUUUGUAGUGUUUUUGAACUUGAGUUUGUGUUGUGAUUGAACUUGAGUUUGUGUUGUGUUUGAACUUGAGUUUAUGGCGUUUGUUGAACUUGAGUUUGUGUUGUGUUUGAAAUUUAAUUUGUUUUUUGUUUUUGAACUUGAGUUUCUGUCGUGUUUAACUUGAGUUUGUGGUGUUUUUUAACUUGAGGGUUUGGAAUUUGUUAAACUUGAAAAUUGGGUAUUGGUUAAACUUGAGUUUGUGUAUUUGUUGAACUUGAGUUUGUGGUGUUUUUGAACUUGAGUUGGUAUCGUGUUUAAACUUGAAGUAUUUUUGUGUUUGAACUUGAGUUGCGUGUUUGGUGAACAUGAGUUUUCGUGUUUGGUGAACAUGAGUUUUCGUGUUUUUUGAACUUGAGUUUCAGUUGUUUUUCAACUUGAUUUUGUGAAAGUUGUUAAACUUGAGAUUCAGAUGUUGGUUGAACUUGAUUUUGUGUUUGUUGAACUUGAGUUUUUGUCGUUUUUGAACUUGAGUUUCUGUUGUUUUUGAACUUCAGUUGUGUGUUUGGUGAAAGUAGGUUUGUGUUUUUUUAAACUUGAGUUUUUUUUUUGAACUUGAGGUUGUGGAAUUUGUUAAACUUGAGAAUAAGGUAUUGUGGUUGAACUUGAGUUUGUGUGUUUUUCGAACUUGACUGUGUUGUUUUUGAACUUGAGUUUGUGUCGUUUUUUUAAUUUGAGGUUGUGGAAAUUGUUAAACUUGAGAAUCAGUUGUUGGUUGAACUUGAGUUAGUGUGUUUGUUGAACUUGAGUUUGUCUCGUGUUUGAACUUGAGAUUGUGGUGUAUUUUAACCUUGAGUUAGUGUUUUUUUUAACUUUAGUUUGUCACGUGUUUGAACUUUAGUUUGUAGAUUUUUUGAACCUGAGUUUGUGUCGUGUUUGAACUUUAGUUUGUGUUGUGCUUGAACUUGAGUUUGUGUCGUGUUUGAACUUGAGAUAUUUUCAUGUUUAACUUGAGUUGAGUGUUUGUUGAACAUGAUUUUUCGUGCUUUUUGAACUUGAGUUUCAGAUGUUUCUUAACUUGAUUUUGUGGAAGUUAUUAAACUUGAGAUUCAGAUGUUGGUUGAACUUGAUUUUGUCUUUGUUGAACUUGAGUUUGUGUCAUGUUUGAACUUGAGUUUUUAGUGUUUUAGAACUUGAGUUUGUGCUGUUUUUGAACUUGAGUUUGUAUUGUGUUUGAACUUGAGUUUAUUGCGUCUGUUGAACUUGAGUUUGUGUGUUUGUUGAACUUGAGUUUGUCUCGUGUUUGAACUUGAGUUUGUGGUGUUUUUGAACCUGAGUUUGUGUCGUGUUUGAACUUGAGUUUGUGUUGAACUUGAACUUGAGUUUGUGUGUUUGUUGAACUUGAGUUUGUGUUGUGUUUGAACUUGAGUUUGUGGUGUUUUUGAACUUGAGUUGGUCUCGUGUUUGAACUUGAGUUUGUGGCGUUUCUUGAACUUGAGUUUGUGUCAUGUUUGAACUUGAGUUUGUGGUGUAUUUGAACUUGAGUUUGUGUGUUUGUUGAACUUGAGUUUGUGUUUGGUGAACAUGAGUUUUCGUGUUUUUUGAACUUGAGUUUAAGUUGUUUUUUAACUUGAUUUUGUGGAAGUUGUUAAACUUGAUAUUCAGAUGUGGUUGUGGUUGAACUUGAGUUUGUGUUGUGUUUGAACUUGAGUUUGUGGUGUUUUUGAACUUAAGUUUGUAUUAUGUUUGAACCUGAGUUUAUGGCGUUUGUUGAACUUGAGUUUGUGUUGUGUUUGAAAUUUAAUUUGUUUUUUGUUAUUGAACAUGAGUUUGUGUCAUGGUUGAACUUGAGUUUGUGGAGUUUGUUGAACUUGAGUUUUUGUUGUGUUUGAACUUGAGUUUUUGCUGUUUUUGAACCUGAGUUGUUUGUUUGGUGAAAUUGAGUUUGUGUUUUUUUUAUCUUGAGGUUGUGGAAUUUGUUAAACUUUAGAAUCAGGUGUUGGUUGAACUUGAGUUAGUGUGUUUUCUGAACUUGAGUUUGUGUUGUGUUUGACCUUGAGUUUGUGAUGUUUU
rnacentral:lncRNA from 1 species